rfam:Trachymyrmex cornetzi contig3352, whole genome shotgun sequence.
CAAUCGGCCCUUUUCAGGGCCACCAGACACUCUGUAAAUACUACUGU